CGACGACGUUGAUAGGCCGGGUGUGUAAGCGCAGCGAUGCGUUGAGCUAACCGGUACUAAUGAACCGUGAGGCUUAACCUUACAACGCCGAAG
rnacentral:rRNA from 10 species